AAUAGAUACCCUGGUAGUCCACGCCGUAAACGAUGAGUGCUAAGUGUUAGAGGGUUUCCGCCCUUUAGUGCUGCAGCUAACGCAUUAAGCACUCCGCCUGGGGAGUACGGCCGCAAGGCUGAAACUCAAAGGAAUUGACGGGGGCCCGCACAAGCGGUGGAGCAUGUGGUUUAAUUCGAAGCAACGCGAAGAACCUUACCAGGUCUUGACAUCCUCAGCCAACCCUAGAGAUAGGGUGUUCCCCUUCGGGGGACAGAGUGACAGGUGGUGCAUGGUUGUCGUCAGCUCGUGUCGUGAGAUGUUGGGUUAAGUCCCGCAACGAGCGCAACCCUUGAUCUUAGUUGCCAGCAUUUAGUUGGGCACUCUAAGGUGACUGCCGGUGACAAACCGGAGGAAGGUGGGGAUGACGUCAAAUCAUCAUGCCCCCUAUGACCUGGGCUACACACGUGCUACAAUGGAUGGUACAAAGAGCUGCGAACCCGCGAGGGUAAGCCAAUCUCAUAAAGCCAUUCUCAGUUCGGA
rnacentral:rRNA from 1 species